GAUGAACGCUGGCGGCGUGCCUAAUACAUGCAAGUCGAGCGAACGGACGAGAAGCUUGCUUCUCUGAUGUUAGCGGCGGACGGGUGAGUAACACGUGGAUAACCUACCUAUAAGACUGGGAUAACUUCGGGGAACCGGAGCUAAUACCGGAUAAUAUUUUGAACCGCAUGGUUCAAAAGUGAAAGACGGUCUUGCUGUCACUUAUAGAUGGAUCCGCGCUGCAUUAGCUAGUUGGUAAGGUAACGGCUUACCAAGGCAACGAUGCAUAGCCGACCUGAGAGGGUGAUCGGCCACACUGGAACUGAGACACGGUCCAGACUCCUACGGGAGGCAGCAGUAGGGAAUCUUCCGCAAUGGGCGAAAGCCUGACGGAGCAACGCCGCGUGAGUGAUGAAGGUCUUCGGAUCGUAAAACUCUGUUAUUAGGGAAGAACAUAUGUGUAAGUAACUGUGCACAUCUUGACGGUACCUAAUCAGAAAGCCACGGCUAACUACGUGCCAGCAGCCGCGGUAAUACGUAGGUGGCAAGCGUUAUCCCGGAUUAUUGGGCGUAAAGCGCGCGUNAGCGGUUUUUUAGUCUGAUGUGAAAGCCCACGGCUCAACCGUGGAGGGUCAUUGGAAACUGGAAAACUUGAGUGCAGAAGAGGAAAGCGGAAUUCCAUGUGUAGCGGUGAAAUGCGCAGAGAUAUGGAGGAACACCAGUGGCGAAGGCGACUUUCUGGUCUGUAACUGACGCUGAUGUGCGAAAGCGUGGGGAUCAAACAGGAUUAGAUACCCUGGUAGUCCACGCCGUAAACGAUGAGUGCUAAGUGUUAGGGGGUUUCCGCCCCUUAGUGCUGCAGCUAACGCAUUAAGCACUCCGCCUGGGGAGUACGACCGCAAGGUUGAAACUCAAAGGAAUUGACGGGGACCCGCACAAGCGGUGGAGCAUGUGGUUUAAUUCGAAGCAACGCGAAGAACCUUACCAAAUCUUGACAUCCUUUGACAACUCUAGAGAUAGAGCUUUCCCCUUCGGGGGACAAAGUGACAGGUGGUGCAUGGUUGUCGUCAGCUCGUGUCGUGAGAUGUUGGGUUAAGUCCCGCAACGAGCGCAACCCUUAAGCUUAGUUGCCAUCAUUAAGUUGGGCACUCUAAGUUGACUGCCGGUGACAAACCGGAGGAAGGUGGGGAUGACGUCAAAUCAUCAUGCCCCUUAUGAUUUGGGCUACACACGUGCUACAAUGGACAAUACAAAGGGCAGCGAAACCGUGAGGUCAAGCAAAUCCCAUAAAGUUGUUCUCAGUUCGGAUUGUAGUCUGCAACUCGACUACAUGAAGCUGGAAUCGCUAGUAAUCGUAGAUCAGCAUGCUACGGUGAAUACGUUCCCGGGUCU
rnacentral:rRNA from 1 species